UGGGGAAUCUUGGACAAUGGGGGCAACCCUGAUCCAGCCAUGCCGCGUGAGUGAUGAAGGCCUUAGGGUCGUAAAGCUCUUUCGCCUGUGAAGAUAAUGACGGUAGCAGGUAAAGAAACCCCGGCUAACUCCGUGCCAGCAGCCGCGGUAAUACGGAGGGGGUUAGCGUUGUUCGGAAUUACUGGGCGUAAAGCGCACGUAGGCGGAUCGGAAAGUUGGGGGUGAAAUCCCGGGGGCUCAACCCCGGAACUGCCUCCAAAACUAUCGGUCUAGAGUUCGAGAGAGGUGAGUGGAAUUCCGAGUGUAGAGGUGAAAUUCGUAGAUAUUCGGAGGAACACCAGUGGCGAAGGCGGCUCACUGGCUCGAUACUGACGCUGAGGUGCGAAAGUGUGGGGAGCAAACAGGAUUAGGAUACCCUGGUAGUCCACACCGUAAACGAUGAAUGCCAGUCGUCGGGUAGCAUGCUAUUCGGUGACACACCUAACGGAUUAAGCAU
rnacentral:rRNA from 1 species